rnacentral:lncRNA from 1 species
GUACCUCCCAUUAGGUAAAUGGAACUAAUGAAGUAACCUAGGAACUCUCAGAUGCACAAGGUGGGUACCAAGACUGAGAAUAUCAUAUUCUCAGGGUUGCUAGUGACACACCAUGCUCUAAGAAGAAAGACAAAGGCAGAAGAAGAAAAUCAGGGACUUGGGCAAGCAUAUGUUUUCUCUACUAUAUUUUUGUAGUCACCAUUGUCAUUUUGGGGGGAUAAAAAAAAAAAAACUCUUGCCCAUUCUCAGUGGAAGUCCAAAGGAGAGCUAUCAGAGUCCUGAAUCAACAUACUCAAAAGUGAGCGUACAUCCUUUCUAAAGUUCUAAUCUUUUAUGGAGGAAAUGUUCCCUUGGCACCACUGAUGCAGCCAUUUCCCCUCCCCAUCACUGGAGACAAAAGUUCCAUUUAAGAGUUCCUCAAUCAUGAAAGUGGAAAGGAAACAAGACUGACAGUUUGUGGGGGAAGGGCCCAACUGGGAGUGGCAGUUGGGUCUUGUGACUAGCACUUCCUUCCUGCCAGGUGGGUCUUGCGUCCUGGUGUUGGAGGAGAGUGGAGCUUGGUCAGCCCAGUCUGGAGUGGCAUGCUCUUCUUGGUUCAGCCCAAAGACACAGGCUUCUAAAGGUGGGUUUUGCGUCCUAGUGUUGGAGGAGAGUGGAGCUUGGUCAGCCCAGUCUGGAGUGGCAUGCUCUUCUUGGUUCAGCCCAAAGACACAGGCUUCUAAAGGGAAACUUUUCCUGGAUAGAAGGUCGAUGGAAGAAGUCAUUUCCAGAGUUCCAGACUGACACUUUCGAGCCAGACAUUGAAUAAAGCUUCCGAAACCAAAACCA